rnacentral:rRNA from 1 species
GAUGAACGCUGGCGGCGUGCCUAAUACAUGCAAGUCGAGCGAACGGACGAGAAGCUUGCUUCUCUGAUGUUAGCGGCGGACGGGUGAGUAACACGUGGAUAACCUACCUAUAAGACUGGGAUAACUUCGGGAAACCGGAGCUAAUACCGGAUAAUAUUUUGAACCGCAUGGUUCAAAAGUGAAAGACGGUCUUGCUGUCACUUAUAGAUGGAUCCGCGCUGCAUUAGCUAGUUGGUAAGGUAACGUCUUACCAAGGCAACGAUGCAUAGCCGACCGGAAAGGGUGAUCGGCCACACUGGAACGGAGCCAGGGUCCAGACUCCUACGGGAGGCAGCAGUAGGGAAUCUUCCGCAAUGGGCGAAAGCCUGACGGAGCAACGCCGCGUGAGUGAUGAAGGUCUUCGGAUCGUAAAACUCUGUUAUUAGGGAAGAACAUAUGUGUAAGUAACUGUGCACAUCUUGACGGUACCUAAUCAGAAAGCCACGGCUAACUACGUG